AUGCAAGAUCUGGCUUUCUCAAUGACACCAGAUCAGCAAAUCUCUCUCUAUACGACAUCCAAUCGACUAAGUUUGAAGGUGGUGAAGGGUUUGGAUCUGCCAAUCAGUGACGUAUGAGCAAGGGGGUGUUUGGUCUGCCAAUCGGUGAUGUAUGAGCAAGAUUUCACAAGAUCUAAAGACGGCCUGGUGUCCGACGACUAGGGUUCCGGUGAUAGAAUUCUCAAGCUGAGCGGUGGCAAUAGAGACGACUUCCCGAUUGUAGAUGGUGGUUGAGGUAGGUUCCGACAAACUAAGGUAUGUCCGACGACCUCUUUCUUAUUUGUUUAGGUCACAAGCUUCAGAUCUCGAAUUCGAUGUUUCUUUAUUUUCAUGUUUGUUUUUUUAAUUGUGGUUUCUUAGUUUACUUGGCUAAGAUUUUGGGGUUUGAUAUUCAGAUUAGGAUUAGGUUAUGAUUUACAUGAGUGAUAUUUAGAUUUCUGGUUGUUUAUAUACUCACAUUUAGUUUUUAUCACAUAAAGGCACUGUAAAGUGGUAUUUACAUUUCUGGUUGUUUAUUAUAUCGUAUGUCGUUGAAAGCUAUGAGCGAGCUUAUAGUAAUAUGGUUCGUGUUCGCCAAUUGUCUGAGUUAGAGAAGGUAUUUUGUUUGAGCAUAUAAAAAUUAUGUUCUGCAUUUUAAUUGAAUUUCUAUUUCUGAUUGUGACUAUAUUUUAAGUAGACAUUGAUGGUAUGUACGCAGGCCCAUUCAUAUUGCCACUAACAAAGUAUGUGCCAAUAAAGUAUGUUGAACAUAUAUACAUGAGCGGUUCAGAGGUGAUCUUUUGGAAUAUCUCAAUGACUUCGGACUCAGUUUUAUUCUACAGUUAUGCAGAUACAUGGUUCAAGGUUUGGGAGAGUAGGAAGAUGGAGCCGAAUGGGCUUAUGGUUACUCGCCAAGAGUCUGGUCAAAUCUGUCUUGCAAGGUUUGGGUCUUAUCAGAAACCCUGGAAACAAGGCCACUGUUUUAGUUUUGAAAAGGUUUAAGCUACAGUUCAGAAACAAGAUUGCCCUGUCGGUCUACACUGGGAGCGUCUUUUAGGCGAGCAUGAAUCGUCCGUUGAAAUACCCUUGGUUGAUGCUCGGAGUGACCAGACAGUGGAUAUCAGGCCUGAAUCUGUUGCAAAACUGAAAAUACUGGGAUUUUGAGUUGGUGACGGUAACGAUGACGGUAGUUGGGCAUACGAACACUUUCAAGAAACCAUUAUGAGCGAACGGGAAGGGAAACGACGAAUGCUUCAAGGAAAUACUUGUUUGCAGCUAAACAAAGGCGUUUGUUAUGUUCGUAACAAGAUUUCUUUUACUCAUAGUGCGGAACAUACUAGAAAUAGUCUGUACAGACUGGUGGCAGUAGUUGUGGAUGCUGAUUUGAUGAAUGGAGUGGAAGUACCAACAACGGAAGCAUUUGUCAUGAAGGACCGGCGUUAUAUAUAUAAAUCACUAAAACAUGUGUGCCCGUCUUUAUCAGAUAAGGUAUGCUAUUUAAAGCAGAUCGGCUAUAAGGGUCCUCGCUAUACACGUCCGAAAGACACAGAUGUGUGCACUUUGAAGGAUUUGUUGAGACUACUCUACACGAAUCCAAAACGGCAUGAAGAGACUCUUGAACUAAAAGCCUCUUGCAAGUUUUGGGAUGAAAUUGUAAAAAGCGCACAAGUAUCAAAUGGAACAUUUUUGUACCUCGAUCCUAGAGACGAACAAAAAACCAGCGUUGUUCUUGAUGUUAAACUGCAAUUGAAGGUGUUGAUUGUAGAACCUCAUCGGUACAUCAGCCAGUGCCACAUCAGCAAUGUUUAACGACGCGUUUGCAGCCGUAAACAUGUCGUUAAACCGUUGCAAACGGGUGUAAAAACGCAGCUGUUUGCAGCCGUUUAACGGCUGCAAACGCAGCAGCAAAUGGGUGUAAAAACGCAGCAAGAACGCGAACUAGCUGUCAACAAGACCAAAUUCACUAAUGUUUUGGUUAAAAACCUCUCCGAAUAAACAACCGAUGAGGAUUUACAAAAGGCGUUUAGUGAAUAUGGAACGAUCACCAGUGCGGUUGUGAUGAGGGAUGCUGACGGUAACUCCAAAUGCUUUGGUUUGUUAACUUUGAGAGUACCGAAGAUGCUGCUAAAGCUGUAGAAGGCCUUAACGGACAGAAGUUUGAUGAAAAAGAAUGUUGUCGGGAAAGCGCAAAAAAGAAUGGACGGGAACUGGAGUUGAAAUAGAAGUUUGAGCAGAGUAUGAAGGAGGCGGUGGACAAGUCACGGGUUAAACUUGUAUGUAAAAAAUUUAGAUGAUACGGUGACCGAUGAAAGUCUCAGGGAGUACUUUGCGCCUUUUGGUACUAUAACUUCCUGCAAGGUCAUGAGAGAUCCUAACGGAACUAGCAAAGGUUCAGGUUUUGUUGCGUUUUCUACUUCUGAUGAAACUUCUAGAGCUCUUAUGGAGAUGAAUGGCAAGAUGAUCGCUGGCAAGCCCCUUUAUGUAGCACUUGCGCAAUGCAAAGAAGAUAGAAGGGCACGAUUGCAGGCACAAUUUUCACAGAUGCGUUCAAUUGCAAUGGUGGAAAGAAUUUGGUGUUAUGUGGUUCAGCUCUUUCUGCAGAACAAAAGUUUAUGAUGGUUGACUUUGCGAGAACUAACGGAGCAUUAGUGUCAAAGUACUGGAAAGAUAACGUCACACAUGAGAUCGCUGCCACAGAUGCAAAUGGCGCAUGCACAAGAACAUUGAAAGUUCUCAUGGCUAUUUUGAACGGAAAAUGGGUGGUUACAAUGGAAUGGUUAAUGGCGUGUGUAGAUGCUGGACGUGUUGUGAACGAAGAACCAUAUGAAGUACGUUUAGAUACACAUGGUUGUUCCGGUGGGCCCACAGCAGGGAGGUUAAGAGCUCAAAGAUUGGCUGCGGUGGAAGGUGUAGCGCAAGAAUGCGGGUCGCGGGUUGUUGGGCAUACAUGGAUUUUGGGAUCAAUUGUUUUAUGUAGCUUGCUGCUUCUUACAUCAAGGGUGUAAAAACUUAUCUUUUAUGCAUGUUUUGGGGUUUUUUUGUCUCUUGGUUUAGAACUAUAACAGUUCAGAUGAAUUUUUUUGUUGAUUUUACUUGUGGAUAAAUAAUAGAUGCUGAAAGUUAUGCUUCACAAGAUACAAGAGUAAUUGCUAAUGUUAUGUUUAAGUUUUUAUUUGGUGUUAUACUUCUUUCAGUGCACUUUCAACUGUCAACCAACUAUAGUGUAGAAGAUAAGUCUUUAUACAUAAGAAAAAAUAACAUGAGUGUUAAAUGGGUGUUGUUA
rnacentral:lncRNA from 1 species